UACGGAGGAUGCGAGCGUUAUCCGGAUUUAUUGGGUUGAAAGGGUGCGCAGGCGGGCUGUUAAGCCGGCGGUAAAAAUUCAGGGCUCAACCCUGUCGAGCCGUCGGAACUGGCAGUCUUGAGUGGGCGAGAAGUAUGCGGAAUGCGUGGUGUAGCGGUGAAAUGCAUAGAUAUUAGGAGGAACACCGGCGGCGAAGGCGGCCUGCUGGACUGAAACUGACGUUGAGGCUCGAAAGCGUGGGGAGCAAACAGG
rnacentral:rRNA from 1 species